rnacentral:rRNA from 1 species
GUGACGGGGGACCGCAAGACCUCGCGCUAUUGGAGCGGCCGAUAUCAGAUUAGCUAGUUGGUGGGGUAAAAGCUCACCAAGGCGACGAUCUGUAGCUGGUCUGAGAGGACGACCAGCCACACUGGGACUGAGACACGGCCCAGACUCCUACGGGAGGCAGCAGUGGGGAAUUUUGGACAAUGGACGCAAGUCUGAUCCAGCCAUGCCGCGUGCGGGAAGAAGGCCUUCGGGUUGUAAACCGCUUUUGUCAGGGAAGAAAAGUCUGGGGCUAAUACCCCCGGACGAUGACGGUACCUGAAGAAUAAGCACCGGCUAACUACGUGCCAGCAGCCGCGGUAAUACGUAGGGUGCAAGCGUUAAUCGGAAUUACUGGGCGUAAAGCGUGCGCAGGCGGUUCUAUAAGACAGAUGUGAAAUCCCCGGGCUCAACCUGGGAACUGCAUUUGUGACUGUAGAGCUGGAGUACGGCAGAGGGGGGAUGGAAUUCCGCGUGUAGCAGUGAAAUGCGUAGAUAUGCGGAGGAACACCGAU